GGUCCGCAUCCGUGAUGCUGGGAGCACUCGGCCGGUGCCCGCCCAUUGCGGACCCGCUGUUUGCGGGCCGCAAUACGGCCAUGGCCGGGCAACAACCAUGUGCAUGAGGCCUUAAAGAGGUUUUACAUUUCCUGCCCUUCACCAG